CCAGACUCCUACGGGAGGCAGCAGUGGGGGAUAUUGCACAAUGGGGGAAACCCUGAUGCAGCGACGCCGCGUGGGUGAAGAAGCGCCUCGGCGCGUAAAGCCCUGUCAGCAGGGAAGAAAAUGACGGUACCUGAAGAAGAAGCCCCGGCUAACUACGUGCCAGCAGCCGCGGUAAUACGUAGGGGGCAAGCGUUAUCCGGAUUUACUGGGUGUAAAGGGGGCGCAGACGGCGAUGCAAGCCAGGAGUGAAAGCCCGGGGCCCAACCCCGGGACUGCUCUUGGAACUGCAUGGCUGGAGUGCGGGAGGGGCAGGCGGAAUUCCUGGUGUAGCGGUGAAAUGCGUAGAUAUCAGGAGGAACACCGGUGGCGAAGGCGGCCUGCUGGACUGCGACUGACGUUGAGGCCCGAAAGCGUGGGGAGCAAACAGGAUUAGAUACCCCAGUA
rnacentral:rRNA from 1 species